GAUGAGAACGCAGCGAAAUGCGAUAAGUAAUGUGAAUUGCAGAAUUCAGUGAAUCAUCGAAUCUCUGAACGCACAUUGCGCCCUCUGGUAUUCCGGGGGGCAUGCCUGUUCGAGCGUCAUUAUAACCACUCAAGCUCUCGCUUGGUAUUGGGGUUCGCGGUUCCGCGGCCCCUAAAAUCAGUGGCGGUGCCUGUCGGCUCUACGCGUAGUAAUACUCCUCGCGAUUGAGUCCGGUAGGUCUACUUGCCAGCAACCCCCAAUUUUUACAGGUUGACCUCGGAUCAGGUAGGGAUACCCGCUGAACUUAAGCAUAUCAAUAAGCGGAGGA
rnacentral:misc_RNA from 1 species